rnacentral:rRNA from 1 species
AUUGAACGCUGGCGGCAGGCCUAACACAUGCAAGUCGAACGAGUGGCGGACGGGUGAGUAAUGUCUGGGAAACUGCCCGAUGGAGGGGGGUAACUACUGGAAACGGUAGCUAAUACCGCAUACCAUCGGAUGUGCCCCGAUGGGAUGAGCUAGUAGGUGGGGUACCGGCUCACUCAGGCGACGAUCCCUAGCUGGUCUGAGAGGAUGACCAGCCACACUGGAACUGAGACACGGUCCAGACUCCUACGGGAGGCAGCAGUGGGGAAUAUUGAACAAUGGGCGCAAGCCUGAUGCAGCCAGGCCGCGUGUAUGAAGAAGGCAUUCGGGUUGUAAAGUAAUUUCAGCGAGGAGGCGUUACUCGCAGAAGAAGCACCGGCUAACUCCGUGCCAGCAGCCGCGGUAAUUC